UGGGGAAUAUUGGGCAAUGGAGGCAACUCUGACCCAGCAACGCCGCGUGGAGGAAGAAGCAUUUCGGUGUGUAAACUCCUUUUAUAUAGGAAGAAGAUGACGGUACUAUAUGAAUAAGCACCGGCUGACCCGUAAAA
rnacentral:rRNA from 1 species